rnacentral:rRNA from 1 species
GACGAACCGUGCAAACGUUGUUCGGAAUCACUGGGCUUAAAGGGCGCGUAGGCGGGCGGGCAAGUCGGAGGUGAAAGCCCACGGCUCAACCGUGGAAGUGCCCCCGAUACUGCUUGUCUGGAGGGAGGUAGGGGCGUGCGGAACUUCCGGUGGAGCGGUGAAAUGCGUAGAUAUCAGGAGGAACACCGGUGGCGAAGGCGGUUCUCUGGGCAUGUCCUGACGCUGAGGAGCGAAAGUGUGGGGAGCGAACAGG